UUCUCGCUCAACUUCUGUUUUUUCUUUCAAAGACAAAAUAUUCUUUCCCUCACCCUAAAACAUGCAUCCAUCGAUAAACCCAACACACAAACGUCUAGAUCGAAUGAAAAAGAAAUACAAAGGGAUUAAAGCUUGACAUCUGUUCUCUUCAACCAAGAUCAAGACGAUUAAACGAGAAAAGCAAGAAAAAUGGAUCAUUCGAGAUAAAAGGGAAAAACGGCGAGGGUUUACCCAAUCGGAAGGUCCUCCUGUCUAAGAUCUAGCGUUAUCGCUUGGGUUUUUACGACGAGUGCUCUAACCGCAACUGAUUGUCCAGAUGAGCUUUGCUGCAAAACUCCAAAGGAAACUUCGACUCAGGGUUUCUGCGUGAGUGUGAAGUCUCGUUUUCAGCAGCGUAACGAUGCAAGAAGGGAGAGGCCUUUCAAUGAAUGAGCGCUCCCUUUUAUAGAGUUCAAUACGAGGUUCAGUCUGCUCCUCCUUCAUGAGCUGGCAAAUCUUUGGAUGCAUCAAUCCGUUAGGCAAAAGAAUCUCGUCCAGAUUUGGUGGUCCUCCCUUCUGACGUGGUCCACAAAAUGAAGGUCUCAUGAUUAUCAAAAUGAUGCCGCAUUCGAUAGUGCUUGAUUUGGUAGGUGAUCUGAAUGAUAUUCAGGAUGCUUGAUGAUACUUGUAUGGAUGUUAACCUUGUUGAUGGCUGAGCUUGGAUUGGUAGUCUGCUGUGUUUUACAUGGUGGUGGUCAUAAUUGCUCAUGUGAUUCUAUUACCAUAAGGUUGGUGCUUUGGGAUUUUUGCUUUGGAUGCUUUGCCGGUGCGUGAACUGAUUUGUGGGUUGCUAUGCUUGAUGGUGCAGUAGUGGUUUGUGCAGUUUCUAGAUCGUGUAUUUGAUCAAGGUUUUUUAAAGCAUACCCUGGCACUGUUUUGGUUUGGAGCAUUAUGGCAUUUAAACCGAUCCCGUCUUUAAUUGAUGAUUCAUAAUGCGAUGGUCUUGCCGCUGUAGUUAAACCCUAUGUCCCAAAAAGGUAAAGGAGCACGGACAACACACUUCUCUGCUGGUUCUAGCAUUUCUCUCUGUGGUUCGUGUGAUGUGAUCUUUUGAUUGUGCAUGUUUGUGCCUGCUGGACAAAGCAAAGUACGGCAUGGUGGCUGAAUUGCUGUGGCUUGUGUAUUCGAAGCACAACUCUGUUGUUGCAGAAAAAUCAGUUUUGAAUACCAUGACAUUGUAAUAACCAUGUACAUUUUUUAAGCUUUGUCUUCAACUGUGUAUGCUUCGCUCCAUUCAUGAUGAUUUUAGUGUUCUUGGCUUUUGUUUCACUUAUGUGAUAGGCUUUUGGAUUGUGCAGGUUGCGGUAUGCUUGCAAAUUCUUGGAAUUACUUGAAGAAGAGAGUGCAAUGAGUUGUAUUGCUUAGCUGCCAUGCUAUUCCAAUGCUUGAAUAAUUUCUCUUGUAAUGCCAACAUGUCCUUAGAUCAUAGGCUAGGACUUUUGUAAACCAUAAAGUUUAUCAAUACAAUUGUAAAUUUAUGCCUUUAUCAAUAGAACUUGCCAAUCUAUUCCAAUUCUCA